AGAGCUUUACAGCAGCUAAAUAUGGUAAUUUCACGCUCAGCAUGAAGUGAAGUUUUUCGGUAGAACAAACCAAAAGUACUACUGUAAUAGAAACGUUUGUCUGAAUUGAAGCACUUAGGAGAGCUAUUAUGAGUUUGGGUGAAGGGACAGUCUCUAGUUAAAAACCGUUUACUGCUGACAGGACAUCUCUGCCGCUUCAGGAACAGCCAGAGACCUUGGCAACUUUGGGGUGUGGCUUCGUCCCGAGAAUGUUACAGUCCCCUAGCAACAAGUAUCACAAUUCUAUUAUGACAACACUCACUAAAUCCCAGUGUUGUUAUAGCAAAGCUGACUAUAAACUCUAAACUUUAGAAAUGAUGUACGUACUUCCUGUCUAGUUAAGAGACUCUUUCUAAUAGAGAUAGUGAUAAUAAUUAAGAGUAAGAAGUAGAAAAAGAUGAAAAGAUAUAGAGGAGAAUUGAGAGAACAGGAAGUCAGAGAGGGAUAGAUGCCAGCCUGCCGUCCAGGGAACAUCAUGUAAAGGCAACAGGACAGAUUAACAGAUUUUACAUCAUAUGAAGUCAACAAACAAAAGAUGGGUUAGGAAUUCUACAAGCAAAAUGUUCUCACCCACAAAGACCAGGUUGUUGUAAUUCUCCAACAUCACAUCAACGUACAAAGACUGCUGAGCAAAGUCCAGGCAUUCCCAUUCCUCUUGGGGGAAGUCCACAGCUACAUCCCUGAAUGUCAACAGACACUGAAACAAAGAAGUAUAGUUUGACCAUUUGUUACCUGGAUGUGCUUUCCUAGAUAUAAGGAGAUGGAAUGUAGGUGAGCUAAGGUAAUUACUCAAAAAGAAGAUUUCCAAUACAGUCAUUCUCUCA